rnacentral:misc_RNA from 1 species
AAGUCGUAACAAGGUUUCCGUAGGUGAACCUGCGGAAGGAUCAUUAUUGUAUUCACCUGCGAUGCUGUUGCUGGCUCCUUGUGGGCAUGUGCACGCUUCGUAAGUUAAUUUCAACCACCUGUGAACCUUUUGUAGUCUUGGGUGACGCUAUAAGUCAAAGGAAACUUUGGAUUUGAAUGCUGCAGGCUUGUAAAAAGGUCGGCUUCAUUCUACAGCAGAGCCCGGGUACUAUGCUUUACACACCCCAUUGUAUGUCAUAGAAUGUAAUUCAAGGGCUUCAAUGCCUUUAAAUUUAAUACAACUUUCAGCAACGGAUCUCUUGGCUCUC